ensembl:misc_RNA Metazoa_SRP Metazoan signal recognition particle RNA
GCCGGGCGCGGUGGCUCGCGCCUGUAAUCCCAGCACUUUGGGAGGCCGAGGCGGGCGGAUCACUUGAGGUCAGGAGUUCGAGACCAGCCUGGCCAACAUGGUGAAACCCCGUCUCUA